rnacentral:rRNA from 1 species
AACGUAGGACGCAAGCGUUAUCCGGAGUUACUGGGCGUAAAGGGCAGGUAGGCGGACCGCUAAGUUGGGUGUGAAAUCUCCCAGGCUUAACCGGGAGGGAGCAUCUGAGACUGGCGGACUGGAGGGCAGCAGAGGAGCGUGGAAUUCCGGGUGGAGUGGUGAAAUGCGUAGAGAUCCGGAGGAACACCAGAGGCGAAAGCGGGGCUCUGGGCUGCACCUGACGCUGAACUGCGAAAGCCAGGGGAGCGAACGGG